UACGUAGGUGGCAAGCGUUGUCCGGAUUUAUUGGGUUUAAAGGGUGCGUAGGCGGUCUAUUAAGUCAGUGGUGAAAUAUGGCAGCUUAACUGUCAGGGUGCCAUUGAUACUGAUGGACUUGAGUGAAGUCGAAGUAGGCGGAAUUGACGGUGUAGCGGUGAAAUGCUUAGAUAUCGUCAAGAACACCGAUAGUGAAGACAGCUUACUAGGCUUAUACUGACGCUGAGGCACGAAAGUGUGGGGAUCAAACAGGAUUAGAAACCCGGGUAGUCC
rnacentral:rRNA from 1 species